GGACUUGAGUGAGAGACACAUCAGUUUAUUCCUGAGCCUGCCUCUUGCAGUUUGUCAGAAUACCAUGUAGAAAUACCCUGCCCAGGCUGUUUCUCUCUUGGGGCAAAUGAAUUAUUGAGUUUUCCAGCACUACAAGUGUUCUACUGAGAUACCUGUGACUCCUAUCCACUGGUGAGGAUGCUGAGAGCAGCUGGAGGAAUGAGGACACUUUGAUUGUCCCAUGCUGUAGAAGGCCUAAUUCUUCAUUACACUCUUUUGUUAGCCAUGCCAAAUUCAACAGCCACAUUAGUGAUAGGUAUCUCUCAGAAUUGGAAUUUGUUUCAGUUGUGUUUUAUUUUUAAGAAGAUGAGUGAGCCCACAAGAAUUCCUUCUGCAGGCAGGAUACAUCUUCAGUCAUUUCUCCACUCCUAAGAGUAAGCUAACUCCCUGCUGAGUAAUUCAUGACCCUUCUCAGCCAGGCUGAUGUAGAUCUGAUCACUUCCUGAGGCUGUUGUGAGGAAUAAAUCAAGCAUCUCCCUUCAUGCUGAGUGCUGGCACAUCACAGAA